AUCCGAUCGAAAUAAAACUUUCACAACAUUAAUAUUUCAUAUAGGCCUACAUUCUGACAAAGUUUGAAAGAUUUUGAAUUUUCUCAUUUUACACGUUUUACCUGACUAUUACAGACAACGGCUCUUAAUACGUUAUGUUAAUUGGUUAUUAUAAUCUCUGAUUGGUUAAUUGUAACGGUAGUGAAUGUCAAAUCUGAAUCUUUCUACUUUACAUUAAUUUUUAAAUUAUGUUACUCAAUUUUUAGCCAAUAGCCACAUAUAAUAUUCGAGACAGUGCGUAGAAUAUAGACAUACACAAAUAAUAUUAUUCAUGGUAAAAAGAGAUCGAGAAACCACCAAGCUAGUUUCGUGGCAAAACGCAACAAACAUUAGCUACAUUCACUAUUCAUUCAUUCUGUUGUAACAUGGCAGUGUUAUACCAUGCAUGUUAUUUAAUGUAUUCAAUACUAUAUAUUCAGUACUGUUAUAAUUAUAAGAGGAAGACCUUAGGUAACCUUCCUCGCAUGAGUAAGCAAAUACUUAGAAAGAUUAAAGAACCACGGAAAACGCCUAGUGCCACAAACCACGCAAACUGGACAUGGUUUUGUGGUUGAUCAACACUGCUAGAACUUGCUUUGACAAUCUUAUUGCGUAGAGGAAAUUAGUCAUAGUUAUAGAUUUCUUCCUCUAAAAUUUAUUAUACAAGCUGAGCACAACCUGAGAGUCGAGAGCGGAGAGUGAAGUGAGAAGAGCCAUUUAGGCUAAAAUGCUUCAUAAGCCAACAAAGGCUGAGGUAUAUAAUCAAAAGGCUAGAUAGUUAAGCCUUGUCAAGUAAACAAAGAACAUUGGAAUAUUGUGGAAUUAUUAAAGAAGACGGAAUACGAAGUAUGAAGAAUAAGGAUUCAAAGUUGUGCUCAGCUCAAACAAAUAGGGAGAGAAGUUGAUAUAUUAAAAAUACUAUAUUAUUAUAAUAUUAUAGAGACGCUAAUUCAUAUUGUUGAAAGUAAAUAAAAAUAUAUAAAAG